rnacentral:tRNA from 1 species
GGGGAUUUAGUUCAGUGGUGCAGCACCUGCCUGGCAAGUGUGAGGUCCUGAGUUCGAUUCCUGGUAUCCCCC